UAGCAUCGUGGAUACAGGCCUUAAGGAGUCUAGGAUCCUAGGCACAGGCCCUAGGAAGUUUCACGUGGCGCGCGCGCGCGCGGCGGGGAGCUGCGCGCGCACAUCCGUGAUCCUAGUGCGCGCUAGUCGCGUCGCGUAUUCUUCCUUCCGUUCGCGCUGGGGAUUCCGCUCGCUUACCUGUGUGUAUGUGACAUUUUUUUCUACGGACCGUUCGCGCUGCUGCAACAUGUUUACCUGGCUGUACCGCCCUCAUCACGAUACCCAGCAGUCCGUCGUUGAUUCCAUCAUGAUACUUACGUCGCCUCAUCGGCAGCACUAAUUCUCAGCUUUGUCAAGCAAAAACUGGGAGAGGAGGUGUCAUGGAUGAUGAAGUGCGUCUCGAAGGUGAAGAGGAGAUGGAGUUGGACGAAGCUUCCGAUGGCGAGGACGAAGACGAAGAGACAGCGGGAAUCCCUAUAUCUCCAGCUAAUUCAGAUCAAUUACUUGGGCAGACAACUCCGACAACUCCUGGUAACAUUACACCAGAAGAGGCUUUCCAUGACCCACUACGGUACCCGAAGUUUCCCUUACCUGGUGGUAAACCUUUGAACAUUCGCCGUGGACCUGGCAGGCCUCGGAAAGAACGACCUUUUGGUAUAACUCGUGGAGGAGGUGCCAGAAGAGCAUUCGGGAGAGGUGGUGCCAGAGGGAAAGGAUUUGGAUACACAAGAGGUGUGCCACGUCGCACUAAAAGUAAAGAUGAUGAUACACAUUCAGAAUCCCCAAGUCCUUUGCGUACAACCGGGUUGGAUGAUACUACUCCUGAUGGUAGCAGUGAAUUAAUGGGAAGCUCAGGUGAUAGGUCAAUGCCUGCGCCCGAGGAACCUCCUUACUUUCCUGAACAAUGGCCGGGCAAAGUAUGCGCGUUAUGCAAUUUAGGCGAGAGGAGUCAGUUGGGACAAGGUGAACUAUUGCGCCUUACAUGUCCACCGGGUUUCACUCCCGAGAAGCCGACGAACCGAGAUGAAACGGUUGCUGAUCAUCUCGUCAACGUCGUGGUCGCAGGAGAUAAAAGUCCGCGUGCUACUGGACCUGGAAUUGCCGUUACCUGUCGUAGGCAAAAGAGUCUAGCCAAAUGCAGGAAUACUAGUCUAACUAAUUUCACGGAACCGGUGGAAGAGUUGACAAUCGUAGGUUAUUUGGAAGAACCGGAAAUCGGGAUUCUGUUCGAUUCCUCGGCCGGUCACUACUAUGUUCAUCAAUCAUGUAUUAUCUGGUCUAGCAACAGUCAAGAUUUACUACCAGAAUUGGCAUGUCGCGCUGUUCUACAAGCUUCCUCCAGACGUUGCGCUUAUUGUUCGCAUUAUGGAGCUGGAAUUCCCUGCAAAGUGGCAUCGUGCAAUCGUUAUUUUCAUUUUCCGUGUGCCGCGGCCAGCAGUUGCUUUCAAGACACUAAGAACUUGGCCCUUUUUUGCAGCCAGCAUCUUGGCCAAGUUCCGCUUUUAUUGUGUGGAGAGGUGACUUGCAUUCAAUGUUAUGGAAUGGGCGACGUUUCGAAUCUAGUAAUGUGCUCUGUGUGCGGUCAACACUAUCACGGAAGUUGCGUGGGCUUGGCGUUGCUCCCUGGGGUACGUGCCGGAUGGCAGUGUGGGCCUUGCCGCGUAUGUCAAGUCUGUAGGCAGCCCGAGGAUGUUUCAAAGGUGAUGCUAUGUGAGCGAUGUGACAAGGCUUAUCAUCCAGGUUGUUUGCGACCGAUUGUUACCUCUAUUCCAAAAUAUGGCUGGAAGUGUAAGUGUUGUCGCGUGUGCACCGAUUGUGGUUCACGUACUCCCGGAGCUGGCCUGUCCUCCAGAUGGCAUUCUCAUUACACUGUCUGUGAUUCGUGCUAUCAGCAGCGCAACAAAGGCUUCUCUUGUCCCCUUUGCAGGAAGGCAUAUAGAGCUGCGGCAUAUCGUGAAAUGGUACAAUGUCACACCUGCAAAAAAUUUGUACACGGUACAUGCGAUCCCGAAGCUGACCCUCUUACUUAUCAGCAACGAAAAGAGGCGAAACCGGAUUAUGAAUAUAUCUGCCUACAUUGUAAGAGCAUUGCCAUGGUGGCCAGACGAAAAGACAGCAUCGAUGAUGGCGAUUUAAGUCUGAGUGCUUCUCAAGAGAGCCUUGACGGUGAAGGUACCUCCUCUGAGGUAGACUAUCCAAGUGGUUGUUCCGAAGAAGCACUUUAUUCUGUCGGAUUAGGGAAAGGGAAACCGUUUUGUGCCACCAAGAUUGCGAAGAAAAGAUUGGGAAUUAGCGGUGGAGUUAUUGGUAGGCCCAAAGGUAUUGGGAAACUGGGCUAUCAGAAGAGGCAGAAGAUGACAGAGUUUGGAAGAAAGAGGGGGCCGAAAGGAAAAAUGAGAGGGUUCUAUGGAGUGCCCGAAGUGGGCUUACAGAGUCCAAAUCCAGAUUCAUCCCAAUCAAAGGACGAAGAACAGCUUGGGGGUGAGAAUAGAUUAAUCCUGUGCUCGGCAAAGGAUAAAUUUAUUUUAACUCAGGAUAUUUGUGUGAUGUGUGGCUCGAUUGGUAUGGAUCAGGAAGGCUGUUUGAUUGCAUGCGUACAAUGUGGCCAGUGUUAUCAUCCAUAUUGCGCUGGGGUUAAGAUCACUAAGGUCAUCUUACAAAAGGGCUGGCGAUGUCUCGACUGUACUGUCUGUGAAGGCUGUGGCGAGCGAAAUGACGAAGCUCGCUUAAUCCUUUGCGACGACUGCGAUAUCAGCUAUCACAUUUAUUGUAUGGACCCACCUUUGGAUUUUGUGCCAGACGGUACCUGGAAAUGCAAAUGGUGUGCACAAUGUCAGACUUGUGGCUCCAAUGAUCCUGGAUGUAAUUCAUCUUGGCAGAAAAGUUAUACCCAGUGUGGACCCUGUGCUUCUCAUACCGCUUGCGUAGCUUGCCAAGAAGCUUAUCAGGAGGGUGAUCUCAUCAUUCAGUGUAUACAGUGUGAAAGAUGGCUUCACUGCGGUUGUGAUUCGAUUAAAAGCGAAGCUGAGGCCGAACGCUGUGCUGAGGAGGGUUACGUUUGUCUCCUCUGUCGUCCUAGAGAUGUUCCCCCUCCUCAUCUUCUUUCUAAACCUUCCUCGAAAUUUGCUCGGUCAUCUUCUCCACCUCAAAGUCGAAAUACAGAAUUGUUUAAAUCUUCUUUGCAACCAUAUUUGGUGGAAGGAGUAUAUCUUUCCGAAGCUGGGAUGAAUCAUAUCAAGUCAUUAACCGCUGAACAUCAGCAAACAAGAAAAAAGAAAAGAAAACAGCCUCAGAUGAUGGACAAAGAAGCAGAUAUCAUGGCGACUAUUGAAUCUGUCGUUGCUGGAGGAAGUUUAGACAAUUCUUUGGAGGAAAAUAAAUUAGAAAUGAUGGAUGUCAAAGAUGAACCAGAAACAGUGUUGAAAGAGGGUAUGGUAUGGAAUCAGCCUGCUCCCGAAGGCUUCAGUAUUUGCACUUCAGAAACUGGACUUCCUGUUUUGCGAAGAAAACGCCAAAGAAAUUUGCAAAAAUUAGGAAUUGGAGGGUUUCUUGUAAGAAUGAGAACCAGGAAGGACAAAGAAGAAGAAGGAGAUGCCGAAAAAUCUGGAGAAUCUUCAGUCGUAGGAGUGGGGGACGAUAAACCCCGAAGAAAACCUCAGAGAAGAAAGCCAAAAACGAGACUGGCGGAAUGUUAUCCUAUUUACAUGCAAGAAGCGUUUUUUGGCAAGGAUUUAAUGGAUACAACAAAGGAGAAAGAUCUUGAGAGCAGCAGCGAAUCCGAGGAAGAACCUAAAGUUCCUGAAAAUGCUAAUACAAUUCAGUUAUCUCAAGAUGAACUGAAGGUAAUGGAACAAGUCAAAGCAAAACAAGAGAAAGAAGAUGAAAAGAUUGCUCCUGAGCAAAUCAAAAGAGAAGAAAUUGUGGAGGAUGACGGCAGUGAUACUGAAGCACUCGGAGAUAUUUUACCAAUUUCCGGAGAUUUGUUAGAUAGCGAUUUAGUGAAUACAAUAAUGAACGAAAACGAUGAGGAUUUGGCAAAGGCGAGCGAAGCUUUGGACGAGUUGGAUGAUGCACAAGGUGGAAGUAAAGAUGAAUUGACGGACAUUCUCAGUCCUCAUUUUAAUUUGGAAUCGAUGGUCAGAGAUACCGGAUUACCUAAUAUGGACAGUAAAGACAUCGAAGAUAUAUUUAAAGGCGUUCUGACUGAUGAAUCUCAGGAAUCUCAGGAAUCAUCGGUGUUUUCUGUCCAAGCUCAGACUUCACAUCCUUCAUCGUCUACUACUCCUCUGGUGUCACCAUCUCCCCAUCCUGGUAUUCAAACAGCAAUGCCUUUGGCGAGACCUCAAGUACCUGGUGCUCUACCCUCGGUUGGUCAAUCAAACUUAAAUUCUCCAAUGAGUUUCCCACCGCCUUCACCAUAUCACUCCGAAUAUAGCAAUAGUCCACAGUUUAGUCCAGCAUUUUCGGAACCACCUAGUCCAUGGGUGAAUCCUGAAGACGAGGGAAAUGCUCCAGCAGGAAAUACUACUAUUUCAUACAACCAAAGAAGUAAUAUGAAGAUGGAAGCUGACGAACCAUUAGGUGCUAAAGCAACAAUAUCCUCGGUUCUUUAUGCUAAUCUCAAUCAUCCUGAAUGGAAAACUGAAUUUCCAGUAUGGGCCGAGAGACACAAGCAAAUUCUAAAGAAGUGGCGAGCACUCUCGAACGAUAAGAAAACUCCGUAUUUGACUAAAGCUCGAGAUAAUCGAGCCGCAGUUCGCAUGAAGAAGACACAGCAGCUCUCCAAGGAGACACCACCACCAAGCACCACCAACACUAUCAUCACUACCAAUAUAACCACCACCAAUACCACCACCAUCAAUAUCAACACCACUACUACUACUACUACCACCGCCAUGACUACCAUCAUCACCAAACCCGCCGCUAUGACGGCUCAGCAGCAGCAGCAGCAACAGCAGCAGCAGCAACAACAGCAGCAACAGCAGCAGCAGCAGCAGGGAGUAGGCCUGAGGCCCAUUGAGAAGCAAUCAGGAAUGUUGAUGACCACUGGAAUGACAUCAACCGGCAACAAUCAACAUCAGGAGGAACAGGAAAGACUAGCAAACAAAGAUCGAUCUACCAAAGAAGCUGAACAGGAAAGACAAUGGAAACAAAUGCAAGCCUUCCGUCAACAACAAGCACAAAUGCAGCAGCAGGUCCUCCAUGAACAACGCGUACAUGGAAUUGCCAGAGUACAUAGACAAAUCAGUGAAGACACUACACCUCAACUAAGUAGUGAUACUACACCUGCAUUAACAGCACAAUUACAAGUUUCCACGGCGCAAGAUACAAGUCAACUGACUUCUCUAGCCUCUCCUUCCCGAAAUACUUUUGCUACGCCCUCACUCAAAGCCCCUCGCAGUCUAACACCUCAGUCACCUCAUCAUCCAACCAUGGUACGUUUGCCUGCGCAAGCUCCUUGUCGGACAAUACGUCCUGGCUUUUCUCAACCACCAUCUCCCUUCUCGCCACAGGCACCCCAGUCACCCCAUGAUUUUCCACAGUCUCCUGCCUCUUCUCAACCUUCUCAGGAGUCACAUUUCCAGCGCUUCGAGGGCAACGUCUCAACUCCUGCAUCCCCUUAUUCGUCACCUCAGACACCAGGUACACCCCGUACCCCUGUGUUUAAUCCUCCGCGACCCCCUGUUUACGCUCCUCCUCCUCCUCCUCCCCCUCCUCCUCCUCCUCCUCCUCCUGCAACAUCACGAACUCCUGAUCCUUACAGCCAGCCACCAGUCACUCCUACACCUGUCCCUGCUGCAUCUGGCUAUCCAUCGCCCAGAGGAUCUGAGACUCCUCGAACACCUCAGGAACAAGAGGUUGCCUUCGCACAGCAACCAGAAGUCAAUAGGCAGUUGAGAGAUUUGCUGCAAAGGCAACAAUUUAAUAAGAAGAUUGAAGGAGUCAGUACCAACUGGGUUCAAGAUGGACAAACCAACACGGAGAAUAACCAGCAACAGUUUGACGCAGCUUCAGCUCAUGUUCAGCUUCAGCAACAUCCUCAAGUACAAAACAACUCGAGCGAAGGUACUUUUAGACAUCCACUUCCGCCAGGCACUGUUAGACCCAGAAUGCCCAUUCAACCAAACGUCUUAAUAAGAAAUUCCAUUGGAAUACCCGCACGACAUCCUGUAGCAGGAAAUAUUCAGAAUCCAAUUGACCAUCGUACCAGGGCGCUACUGCAGAAUAGGCCCCAAGUAGCUACCAAUAUACCUGCUCAACAGCAUUUCCAGGCAACUCCAAACCUCCAAACACGAUUGCCAGCAGUAAGAAACGCCAUUUCCGAAUCUUACGACAUUUUGCAGCAACAGAGAUUUACAGAUGUGAAUCAGGCGCAGAACCAGCGCGUCGCGCGAACGGCGCAGGAUUUAAAUCAAGGUAUUCGCAUGUUGAGUACAGCUCCAGGGAUGGUCCGAGCACCACUCGCCCCCACGACAAUGGGUGAGACUGCGGGAGUGGCUACUUCAGAAGCGUCCGAGAUCCCCGACAAUGUGACAGCCGAAUUGGAAAAGCUGGAACAGGAAGGAGCUCCGAUGGUUGAAGUCGAGGGCGUCAGUGCAAUAUUAGGAGAUUUAGCAGAUGAUGAUGACGAAUUGCUCGCUGAAAUGGGAGCGGACUUCAACAUUCUGGAAUAUGCCGACCCUGAACUGACCACGAUCGCAGGUGGAAAGAAGACCAAUAUUCUUGAUUUGGAUCUCGAACAAGUUGAAGUUGAUUCCAAAGACGAUAAGCAAAAAAAGGAAACCCGGGAUGAAGAUCAGAAGCCGGAAUUGACUCCAUCUUCUGAAAUUGCUGAUUCCUGCUCGACAAGCACGAGUUUGACCCUGACAGAAAACUCCAACGUGCCGACAAUGACAUCGCCACAGGUGACGUCGCAGGCGAUGCAGGCGCAAGUAGUGCAGCAGCAGAUGCAACAGGCAGUAACGAUGGGCCGACCGAUGCUACCAGGGACAAGAUUGCUUUCACCGGAUGGGGCAGUCGGAGUGGUAACUUCCACAAACACGGUAACUGUGAGUUAUCCACCUAGUUUUCCUGGACAUCCGCAGAGAAUUUCGCAGGGACAUAUACAAGUCUCGCCACAACGGCUGGGCAUGCGAGUCGCGGCGGGGGUGCCAACUAUGCCGGGCAGAGUAGUUGCUGUUAAUCACAUGAUUGGACCCCGGAUGUCAUUGGCUCCACCGCCGCCACCGCCGCCGCCACCGCCACCGCUGCCGCCACCGCCACCCCCUUAUCCGGGACCACCACCGCCGUAUCCAGGACCGAUACAAUCGUGUUCACAGGAGCAGCCGUUAUUGCUGGAGGAGCUGUUAGAGCAGGAGAAACGGGAACAAGAAAAGCAGCAGCAACAGCAACAACAGACCGAAAAUGUCACUGGAGGGAGUCUUUUGAGCGACAGCGAUUUUGAAAAACUCAAAGCAGAUGUUUUGGGCACCACAUCGCCUCCCCAGGGUAUGGUACCCGUGAUAAGACAACCUUGUACAGCGAGAUCACCUUCAGCACCUAGUGCUAACUGGCAACAAAGUGCUGUAGCUGUUGAUGGGGCGGCAAAACUAGCAGCGGCGCAAGUUGGGUCGAGACAGCCGAUUGCUACACAGACCCCGCCCGAACCAAGAGUGGCUAUGUUCAACAUUCCUCAAACACCAGCGCCACCGAUUCCACCAGAAAAUAUAGUUAAUGAGCAAGAUCGGCAAAUGCAAUUGCAUUACGAGCAAUGGCUGAAUAAUCAACAUCAAAUAUUAGCGCAGCAACAAAAAUAUUAUGAGGUAGAAGUCCAAAAACUUCGUAAAGUAAGAAAGUCUCUCAAUAGUAAACAACGUGGACUUCGUAAAGCUGGUAACGAACUGACAGAGAGCGACGCCGCUGAACUGCAACGAGUUACUAGCGAACAGACUAUUCUGCAGAAACAUUUAGAUACCUCGCGUAAGCAACAGCGUCAACACAGCUUAGUGAUCCAGGAGUAUCACAAUAAGCAGCAACAACGACAGACUCAGGCCCAAUUAAAUGAACCGUGUUCUCCGUUGAUGUCACCUUCUCAACAUUCUCCGAUGCAUUCUCCAGCGGCAUUGGUCUCACAAAGUCCUGGCCCUAGUAUGAUUCAACAUUCACCAGCAACUCCAAUUGUUCAACAUAGUCCAGGUACGCCGCUGCUCCAACAUAGUCCAGGCAACCCUCAGUCGACUAACCCAGGUACAAUGUCACCUCAUAAUGUUCAACAACAAUCGCCAAGAAUUGGCACUCCUCAUUCUCAAGGUGACGAAAGUCCCUUUAGUCCGGGGCCAAUGCCUUCUCCGGGUCUGUGCAAUCCCAACACUACACGAAUGACUUCACCACAACAUAGAGCCAUUAUUGGCGGAAGAUUAGCAACUUCUCCUGGUGCCUUUACACCAGAAACACGAAAUCAGCAACAAUUAAUUGCUGACCAGGGCGUAAGAGUUCAUAGUUUACCUCAACGAUUUGUCAGGCCACCGGAAGGGGCACAGAGGAGAGGAGUCGUUUAUAAUCCGCAGUCAGGACAACAAUUGCUCAACCAACAACAACAUCAGCAGUUGUUACAGAGACAGCAGAUUAUUCAGCAACAGCACGAAGGUGUUGUUCAGGAUCAAGGACAAGGUACUGUUGUUCGUGGGACAUUGCAGAGGCAGCAAGUUUUCCAGCCACAGCAACACGAAGGUGUUCCGCGACAACAAAUUCUUCAACAGCAACAGCAGAAUGAUAUUUCUCAGGAUGGUCAGAAUGUUAUUACUCAAAGAAAUUUGCAAAUGGUUCAACAAAGACAGAUUCUUCAGCAACAGCAACAGACUGAUAUCAUUUCCCAAGAAGGACAGAAUAUUGUUACUCAAAGAAAUUUACAAACAACUCGGCAACAAAUUAUUCAGCAGCAACAAGAAGGCAUUUCUCAGGAUGGACAAAAUGUUGUUACUCAAAGAGCUUUGCAAAUGACUCAACAACGGCAGCAAAUACUUCAGCAGCAGCAACAAAUUCUUCAACAGCAGCAGCAGCCUGAAAAUGUUUCUCAGGAAGGACAGAGUUCCAUUAAUCAAAGAUCGUUGCAAGUAGUUUCACAGCAGCAACGACAACAAAUUCUUCAGCAGCAACAGAAUGAUAUUAUUUCUCAAGAAAAUCAUAAUGUUGUUGUUGCUGCUCAAAGAAGCUUACAAAUGGUACAACAACGACAGCAAAUUCUUCAACAACAGCAACAAAUUCUUCAACAACAACAUGAAGUUAUUUCUCAGAGUAUUUCUCAAGAAGGGCAAACCUCUAUCGGUCCUAGAACACUGCAAAUGAUUCAGCAAAGGCAGAUACUUCAGCAACAACAGGAAGGUAAUUCUCAGGAUGGGCAAAAUAUUACUGUUCAAAGACAUCUGCAAAUAACGCAACAACGACAGCAGCAUGAAAGUGUUUCACAAAAUAUUUCUCAAGAAAUUGGACAAAAUGUUGUUCAAAGAACAUUACAAAUGGCACAUCGUCAACAAAUUCUUCAACAACACCAGCAACAUGAAAGCAUUUCUCAGGACGGACCGAAUACGGUUGCUCAAAGAAACUUACAAAUAGCUCAACAGCGUCAACAGCAAAUUCUUCAGCAGCACCAACAUGAAGAUGUGUCUCAAGAUGGACAAACUGCUAUUACUCAAAGAUCAUUGCAAUUGGCUCAGCAACGACCACAGAUGUUACAGCAACAUGAAGGUGUUUCUCCAUCUAUCUCUCAAGAGGGACAAAAUACUAUUGCUCAAAGAUCUUUGCAAUUGGCUCAACGACAAAUUCUUCACCAACAACAGCAACAUGAUGUUUCUCAAGAAGGACAGCCUUCUAUUGCUCAAAGAUCACUUCAAAUGGCUCAGCAACGCCAACAAGUUCUUCAUCAACAACACGAAGGUGUUUCUCAGGGUAUUUCUCAGGAAGGACAGAAUUCUAUUGGCUCAAGAUCACUUCAAAUAGCUCAGCAACGACAGCAUAUGCUCCAGCAUCAGCAGCGGCAAUUCUUGCAAAUGCAACAGCAACAGCAGCAACAGAAACCACCCAACUCACCGAUGGUGUCUCAACCAUCAAACUCCCCCAGUCCACAGCUUCAUCAGCAACUUCAACAAGGUUAUGGUCAACCUCCAAGUUCACCCAUGGUGCAACAGACAACAAUGGGAUCUCCGAUGCUUCAACAACAAUUAAAUCCGACUUCACAACCUCCUAGUCCAAUGAACAGGAUUUCACCGAUGCUUCAUAGCAGUCAUCAUCAUUCUUCGACGACUAAUCAGCCACCCAGUUCUCCUAUGAUGCCUAGAAGUCCUAUGGUAGCCGGAUCUCCUAUGCAGAUGCAGCGAAGACAAUCUACUGGAAAUAGUCCAGCAAUGCCAGAUAGACCGCAGAGUGUGGAAAAUCCUGGAACUCCAAGAACACCGCAUACACCUCAUAAUUUCGUCCAACAAAAUGCGAAUUUAACCUCAAGUGAUCAACAACAAAUUUCUCAACAAAUUCCUCAGCAAGUUUCUCAAGAACAAACUUCUUUAUCAGAUAAUCUUUCUAGAGGCGGAGGAAAUUCUAAUAAUUCCUUAAAUCCAAUUCCUCUUCUUGAUUUUGAAAAGUUUGGAUAUUUUAAAUUAGGAUUAAGAGGCGGCUCACCAGGUAAUCAGGAGCAGGUUUGUCAAGUUUCUCGAGAACAAAUUUUUUCAAACAAUUCUAUUAAAAAUAAGGAAAGUCUUAAACCCGCAAAGCCACUGCGAUUCACUAAUUUUGGACGGUUUGGAUGGUUCAAGUUGGGCUUGAGGGGUGGUUCGCCAAUGUGGUCGAGUAAGGCAGAGAGCAGCAAGGGUGGUAAAGGAUCGGAAACAUCACAGAAAAAAGACCAAUCGAUGGAAGAAAAAGCAAAUACUUCCACGAGUCGAAAAACUGCCAGAAUUAAUUCGCUGGUCUGCGUUGACUACAAUGACUUUGACGAUGAUUCGCAUACACCGCCACAGGCGUCACCAACAACUUUGGAAAUAAAAUCAGCUGGUCAGAGCUCUUCUUUAACUUCUUCAACUUUAGAUAAUGGUUCUUUAACUUUGGAAAGUCCUGGAGAAAAACUGGAACAGCUUCCAGAUACAACAGAUUAUGACGAUGAUAAAACCAUAGUUAAUACCGAGGUGACUUUGAGUUCCACAGCUCAACGAGAUAGUGAUGAUAUCACUGUGAUUGAUCAGUUUGGCGACUCGGAACUGGUUGAUGUUAUUUCAGGAACUCUUGAGGGAGAUAUGCAGGAAGAAUAUGUUCUCUUUGAACCUGGAAUGGUAGUAGAUCUCUCUGCUGACAGCAACGAUUCUCUUUGUCACGCUUUAGUGAAUGAUGCUGGACAAGGUCAUGAUUUAGUACAGAUUUUAGAAAUUGAUAAUUCUGAAUCACAAUCAGAGGAACAGAUUUUGAGUGACGAAGAUCUAGUCCCGUCUCAUUCAAGAAAUAAAAAGGGUCUUAGACUCGACAUAGUGAGAACCUUGCAGUCUGGAAAGAAACUAGUCGCUGUUACUGAUACUCCAGAAUCUCCAGAUCAAGAAGAACUUCGAGUUGAUCCUUCUCCAGGUCCUUAUUUAGAUCAGUCUCCUGAUCAAGAACUCGUGGUAUCUUUAGUAAGUCAAUCUGAAGUGGUUAUUAUUGAUCCCACGACGAAAUCUCCCGAGGACAAUCUUUCUAAAGAUUCUUGUGACGAAGAGAUUGAAAAAACUGAUAAUAACAUACAAACUAAUGUUUCCAAGGAAAAUACAUCUAAUGAAGGUUCGACAGGUGAUCAAACUAGAUGUUUAAACCAAAACAAAAGUCCUACAAGCUUUAUUUUUUCGGAUAAAUCUUAUAGCAAGAUAUCAGUUUCUACCGUACAUCCAACAAAUAUUAAUAUAACAGUUUCAAAAUCGGCGGUUCCCUUAACAAAUACUGUCAUUUCUUCAAGUUUGACUCCUAGUUUAGUUUCUAUUAGUUCCAAUUCUCAAUUGAAUCAGGCCUCAAUUCAGCCAAUAGUGACAGAAACUAAAAUGGCGGAUCAUUUUAGCUUGAAGGAAGUUUCUUCCAGUUCUUUUAGUAAUCAAAAAGGUGUCACAUUGUCGACGAUGGCAAGCAUUGUGGCAGAUGCAAAGAUUGCCGCGAAACUUAGUCAAACAGCUCUGGAGAAUAUCUCCAGUCCACAGCAAGACAAAUUGAAAAUUAUCUCCGCCAAUGAAAUGUCAAAAAUGUUCUCAGAUAAGUCUUUAACAACUUUUCCAAGUACGCUAAAUACAACAGAAUCUCUGAACAAUCCUACGAAAUUAAUACUAAGUGUACAACCAACUUCUGUGACGCUCUCGACUCCGAAAAUGUCGAUUCCGGACCUUACAAAAAAGGAUAUCACUUUUAAGAGCAAAGAGAAAUUAACAGAAAAUCAAGAAAGUGAAGUGAAGAAAAAGAAGGAGGAAAAAGCGAUCCAGGACAAAAUCAAGGAUGAAAAUGACUCUUCGGAUACAUCAAUAGAAGAGAAGAAAACGGAUCCAUUAAGUACUACAGAUGAACUGGAAAGCAUGUUAGAAGCCAUUCAUAAUCCUGCAGAAAAUGUUGGAAAUAAGAAUGAUAUUCCAACGACGACUUUGAAACGAAUGUCACCCGUUACCGAUGAUCUAUCGCUUGUGAACAUUCUGGAAAACGACACUGAACCGGUGGAAAAUGAUAAUGAUAAAGGACAGACUUCUUCAGAUUCUGAAAUGCAAAAAGCAACGAAUAAAUCUGAAGAAAUUCAGAAGAACAUUCAGGAGACUAAUAAUGACAAGAACGCACUUUUAAAUGAAAAGAACUAUCCGGAAGAACUUUGUACCGAAAUGGAGAAUUCUAAACCAUUUCUUCAGCAUUGUUUGAGCGAAGAAAAGACUUUAAUGGAGGAAUCUUCUGAUGAUAUUUUAGAUAUGUUACACAAUAUUAUUUCGUCAAAACCAGAAAUGGCAAACAGUAGCGAGCUAAAGUCGAGUCUUAUAUAUCAAAUGCCAACUCCGUUGGAUACUUUGCCUUUAAAUAUCCUACAAGACUCGUUAAUGGAUUUAGAGCAAGAAAAUCUCGAAAAUGAUCAAGUUUCUUCAACUGAAGCUAAAACUGAAAUAAAAAGUAAAAAUUCUGAAGUAAAAAAGAGUUCUCCACUAACAAGUCAAGCUUCCACUUUAGUAGUCAGUACCGUGGCGCAAUUACAAAAAAGCACGACAACUGUUCCUCAUUUAUCGCCACUUUCAAAACCAACAGAAUUGACUUCCAAUGUGGACAACGUGUCUAAUCAACUAAGAACAUUACUAUCGUCUUUACAAAGCAAUCAGACAACCGUAAAUCAAACUGGAGUAGUCACCACGGUUUCUUCAGUGAAAUCAGGAAGCGCUUUGUCUACUUCUAGCUCUUUGUCGACAUUGAAUUCAUUAAAUAAUGUUCAGAGUGGAGUUUCGACAAGAUUAGAUCAAAGUCGUUCUCAGUCAUCAAAAAAUUCAGAAUUGGUAAAAGAGAAAAAGGAAUUAAAGGAAUGCAGCGGAGUCAUUACUACGGUUCCGAAGGUUAGUAAUAGCGAGCAGAUCUUCAGAGUGUCUUCUUCAGCAACAAAUUUUCAGACUACAACAGUUCCUAAUCUUUCGAGUACUUCUUCGACUGUAGUUACCACCAGAACCAUUACAACCUCCAUUUCUAUCACUUCAAACGCCAUGUUGAAUGCCAUGCUGGCAAAUUCCUUGAAACCUUCAAUCGCUGGUCAUAGUCGAAGCAACACUGUACCAACUCAGUCUGCUAAUAUUUUGAGUUCUGUUUUACCAUCGACUUCAAUACAACGCCCGCAAAAUCUUCAAGCAAUUCUUCAAGUCAGUACAGGAUGUUCCACAACUCCUCGAGUACUAGUAAAUACUAGCUCCGCCGUAACCAGCUCAAUGCAAUGUAUUAGGACUAUUAUGCCACCCUUGGCAACUUCAAGCACAAUCUCAAGUUCUCCUAGUAUUCUUCAGUCAACUUUAUCGCAACCUCCGAGUCCCCUUUUGACCUCUAAUCAGAAUCAGUACAAAUCAAGUAUUCUACCAAUGGACAAUAAAACUAAUGAUCUUGAAAAUCAAUCUACGACAGUAAAAAAGGAUCCCGAAGAACCCAAAAUACCAGAGAAGAAAGAAAUAGAUUCUAGCAAAAGUUCUUCUAAUUCUUUAAAAUUCGAGGAAUCCCAAAAUGUGUUGCUAAAGCAAUUAUUACAAAAUACAGCAUGCGCCACAACUUCAUCGCAAGGAACCAGUUUGCCGAUAGUUCCUUCGUUGGAAGCGCAACUGGCUCGGCCAGUCUUGCCUACGCCACCAGCGUUGCUUCCUCAGUUGCUGAACGAAACCCCAACACCGAGGCCAGUAAUAAAUAAACAGGUUCUUGCGAGGGAAACUUCAUUUUUGUCACAUACAGUGACACCUUCAAAGGUUCAAAGUUCACCUACUAAAGAAGAAUCCGCUAAACCUUCUCUUUCGUUAUCUAAUGCAGUCGCGACACAAAGAGUACAAACUGAAAACUUAAAACAACAAACAACAAAGUCAAUUCCUAUUUCUUCAGCAAGUUCUUCGGGAAAUUCUGUAUCAAGUCAACAACCAGUUUCUUCAACAAUAGCAACGACGAAAACAUCUACAAACAUUUCUACGAGUCAACAAGAGACUUCUGGAAGUCCGAACAAACUGGGAACUGGCAUCAGCGAAGGGCCUCAGACUCAACAACGCGUUGCUGUUUCCAUUUCGAAAAUUGGUUUGCAAAAUAAGCCGUUGGUAACCUCUGGAAUAGCCUCAAAGAGUACCCAACUAACGACCAGUAGCUCUAGUAAUGUUUCUGGACCACAAACUCAAGUUCAACAAUCUCAAAAUCAAACUGCAGUUGUGCAGAAGCCAACUGGUGGUGUUGCGCCAACAGUGCUACAACAAGUUUCUUCUUCUUCGACUACUUCCGUUCAGCAACAAUCUGUUCAGCAACAAGUGCCUCAUAACCACGGGGCCGUCGCGGUUCCAUCACAGACCGUUAUUGGGUCCGCCGCCCCAUCGGGUUCCAAUACAGUGCCUUUAGUCGAGGUGAAGAAGGAAAUGGGUCUUGAGGAUGUUUUGUCUGCUGCUAGCACAACGUCAACCAGUCAGUUGCAGGCGGAUACCAAAGACUUUAUUACUACCAAAGAGGAGCUCUUAGACAGCGCAAUGGAUGAUAAAACUGAUCUUAAGAAGCUGAAGAGGAGACAGUAUCAACAGAAGAGAAAGCAGAGUCAGGGAAAAGAUGCCGCAACUGCACCUCAGAAAAAACGUUCUCGUAAAGUCUCGCGCCUCGAUGAAGAUUAUGACACAUUUGUGGACAAUUUGAUGACUCAGUUAAGACAACUUCAGCCAAUGGCGGUUCUGGAGCCUCAUUUAAGUCGUAAUUACGGAGUAUGUCCGAUCUUUGGUUGCGGGGAGCUGGUUAAGAUUGGAAGUCAAAAGGAUUAUAACUCUAGAAUAGGUGAUUUAAUUGGAAAUUAUGGAUCAGCCAGUUUACCAGGAAUUUCUGAUCACUAUAACACACAGCCAUUUGGAGAACUAGACCCCCUGCCACCCCAACAACCCCCGACAACUCAGAGAGGAUUUUAUGAUCAAGAAUUUCCGCCUUUGAAAUUGGAUGAUACUGACGAUAAGAAAGAGAAUAUGACGACAAAUCGCGAUGUGGAUUCUCCUGAUACAAUUGUGAGUUCAUCCUCGCCAGAAUGUGUUAUACCAGAGUUUCUGCACCGUUUUCCCGGACUGCGAUUGAUCGAGGAAGAAUCCGAUGAGGAGGCAGAAUGGUUGAAACGUGUAUCACCUGUUAUACCUCUGAUUUCGCCGAUUCCAAUCAGACUGAAACCUACUUACUUAAAAGAUACAGCUAAACAAGACAAAGAGAAUCUUGGAAUGCCUAAACUUGGCAAGUCUCCUCCGAUUCCUUUACGAGAAAGCGGAAAUGUCACUGUGACUUUAACUUUGAAUAGUCAGGCUGCUGAUGAUAUAAUGGGUGUACUUAAAGAUCUUGCUAGUAUUUUGAACAUAACACCGCCUGCUGGUUAUCAAAUAGUUGAACGCACUACUACGCCUCCCAGUCAGAAAUUGGGCUUGUAUAGGACGAAAGGGAAGGACGGCAAAGAGGGUACUCCAAUCGAUAUACAAAGUAUUCUGAACGGUGCGGCGAAGUUCUGUCGUCAUUGCGAUGUUGUAAUCCUGAACAGUUUGAUCCGAAAGAAAGUAUCAGAUCUGCCAUUCUUAAGUAAAGAAGAAGCUGAACCGGGUGAUGAACUUUGCUUCUGUUCGGCGGCUUGCUAUGUGCAAUUUGCUCUGAUGCAUCGAACACCAUCUAAUACUCAGGAUAAGGCUGCGAUGAUAGUAGACCAUCUAUGCAGUAAAACAGAAGCAAAAAUCUUAGAGGAUGAUUUGAAGAAUCUGAAAAAAUUUCCCAUCAAACAACAACAGAUUGAACGGCUUGAGAAUAUAGAAAUCGUUAAUGAACCAACGACAGAAAUCAAAGUGAAAACUGAAAAGUUGGAUAAUGUUGAAAGGGCAGAAAACGAAGAAAAACGGUCAAAGAAACAUUCGAUUUGCGAAGAAUUUGGUGAUUCUAUUGAGGUCCAACCACCUGUAAAGAUUUGGAAAGGUUCAAGAUAUAAAAUAUGGUCGAUGGGAGCCUUGCAACCUGCAACCAAAUUUAAGAAACCCACUGAUAGAGAAAUUACCGAGACGCUGUUUCGUAUGGCAAUCGCAGUAGCUCCUGCAAAAGCCGAAGACACCCGUCGUUGUGUCUUUUGCAAGAGUCAGGGCGAUGUAACAGCUGAUGGGCCAGCGCGACUACUCAACUUUGAUGUGGAUAAAUGGGUACAUCUCAACUGUGCACUAUGGUCUAAUGUUGUGUACGAAGCACAGAGUGGUGCACUUAUGAGACUGGACGAAGUCCUGCAGAACAAUCUGAUGCAAAUUUGCAUUAUUUGCGAAAAAUCCGCUGGUACAGUCAAGUGCUACAAACCAAGGUGCACCAAUUGGUACCACCUGGUAUGUGCUAUCAAAGACGGUUGCGGUUUUUAUAAAGACAAGACUAUGGCUUGUCCUCAACAUCUUGUAAAAGAUAAAGAUAAGGAACUCACUACACUUUCCGUUUACCGCCGCGUCUACGUCCAACGCGACGAAAAUCGUCAGGUUGCUGCAGUAAUGCACCACUCCGAUAAUAAACAUCUGCUUCGUGUGGGUUCUCUCAUCUUUCUCAGCGUCGGCCAGCUACUUCCUCAUCAGUUGCAAAACUUCCACACACCCAACUACAUUUAUCCAGUGGGCUACAAAAUUGUGCGUUUCUACUGGAGUAUGCGCAGAUCUAAUAAACGUUGCCGCUAUGUCUGUUCGAUCCACGAUGUUUCUGGUCGUCCCGAAUUUCGUGUCUUAGUCCAAGAACCUAAUCAGGAGGAUGUCGAACUGAGAGACGCUACUCCGCGAGCAGUUUGGAGUCGAAUCUUAGAGCCACUAGCAGAAUUGAGGAGAAAUACAAACUCUGUUCAACUAUUCCCGAGAUACGUUUCAGGAGAAGAUCUGUUUGGUUUGACAGAGCCAGCAGUAGUGCGGGUAUUGGAAAGCUUACCUGGAAUAGAGACUCUAACCGAUUACAGAUUUAAAUAUGGUCGUAACCCGUUGUUGGAGUUGCCUCUGGCCAUUAAUCCAACCGGGUGUGCACGGACGGAGGCACGUUUGCGCAAUCAGCUACCGUGGAAACGACCGCACACCCAACGUACAGGAGGCUUUGCUUCACGUGGAGUACCAUUUGGCUUGUCAACCUGUGGUGCUGCCACAACGAUGGGCGGGGUCUCUUCUACAUUAGUUGCAGCAGCUGCUGCUGCUGGCGAGGCUGCCUCCUGUCCAUACUCAAAACAAUUUGUCCACUCAAAAAGCUCGCAGUACAAGAAAAUGAAACAGGAAUGGCGUAAUAAUGUUUAUUUGGCGAGAUCAAAGAUUCAGGGUCUGGGAUUAUACGCGGCCAGAGAUCUGGAGAAGCAUACGAUGGUGAUCGAAUACAUUGGAGAAAUUAUUCGGUCAGAAUUGGCGGAAACAAGGGAGAAACAAUAUGAGGCUAGAAAUCGUGGUAUAUAUAUGUUCCGAUUGGAUGAGGAGCGAGUGAUAGAUGCGACUUUAUGUGGCGGACUCGCUCGCUACAUCAACCAUUCCUGUAAUCCCAAUUGUGUCGCUGAGAACGUUGAAGUUGAACGCGAUUUCAGGAUUAUCAUUUUUGCUAAGCGCCGAAUUUCACGUGGUGAAGAGCUGGCAUAUGACUACAAAUUUGAUAUCGAGGAUGAUCAGCACAAGAUCGCAUGUGCUUGCGGCGCACCCAACUGUCGUAAGUGGAUGAACUAAAAAGAUUUAGGACGACAACAACAAAAAGAAGAAACAGAAAAUGACAAAGAGGGAAGAAGAAAACUCAGCCUCUCCACCCUGCCCAUUGUUAUCAUUGUUACUAUGUUAUAUAAGUUUGUAGGAGUGAUCCAGGGUUAAAAACUAAGGGCUAGAUAAAUCGAAGAAGUUGUGGUGCUAAUCAGAGACGCCAUCACAUUCCUCCAAAGUGUUGUACAAUAUAUAUUAUAGUUGUCGUUGUAUUAAGACAAAAUACCGAUUGCUUGUAUAUUAUUGUAUACCAGAAGAGAAAAAAUAUUGAAAGAUCGAGAAAAAAGGUAAAUGGAUUGUAUGUGAACAAAAGAGGUGAAAGAGAGUUUCUAUCUUAGUGCUUUUGGUCCGAUGAUGAUUUGUUGUAACAUAAAACAUUUAUAUUAUAUAAUAAUUAUUAUUAUCAUCAUCAUGUAUAAUUACAAUGAUAUAGAUACACACGCGUACCGUGUGCACCGCACUGUUUCUGUAUAUAUAUAUAUAUUAUACGAAGUAGUUUUAUUUUUUCGAAUCACACGAUACAUGUAUGUAAAGCGCAAAUGAAAAAUUCUGAAACAAUUUGGAAGAAUUAUAUAUACAAUUAUUAUACCGA